CACGUAGGGCGCAAGCGUUGUCCGGAAUUAUUGGGCGUAAAGAGCUCGUAGGUGGUUUGUUACGUCCGCUGUGAAAUCCUAGGGCUUAACCCUGGGCUUGCAGUGGAUACGGGCAGACUAGAGGUAGGUAGGGGAGAAUGGAAUUCCUGGUGUAGCGGUGAAAUGCGUAGAUAUCUGGAGGAAUACCGGUGGCGAAGGCGGCAUCCUGGACCGGCAUUGACGCUGAGUGAGCGAAAGCUAGGGGAGCAAACGGG
rnacentral:rRNA from 1 species